CACAGAUGGCUCAUCACCCAGGCUGCUGGUAGCAGAUCAAUUUCUUCAGGGCUCAUUUAUAUCAGCUGGUAAAGACAGGGAGUGGAUCGUGGCCAGAUAUGAAGAAGAAAUGAAUCUCAUUUUUGGACAAGAUAUACACAAAAGAGCCAUUGCACAGGACCAAAGAUAAACCUAUCCAGGAUGGAUUGAUGCACUUCUAAGCCAAUACAAAGGUCUUGAACCUAA
rnacentral:lncRNA from 1 species